rnacentral:rRNA from 1 species
AUGAGGAGCCCCCCAACGGCCGUCAUGGCGGUGGCAGCGCUGCUGCUGCUGCUGGUAUCCCUGGCGGCGGCGGUGGCGAACACGACGGACAGGGAGCUGCACCAUCGGGUCUUGGCGGAGUUUAAGGCAGGGCACGGCAAGAAAAUGAGCGAGAAGGAGACUUGGCGGGUGUUUGCCGAGUGGAAGGCCAAGCACGGCAGGAAGUACAGCUCCGCUCGCGAGGAGGAUCGCCGUUACGCUAUCUUCAAGGAAAAACUCCGCGACGCCGAUCUGCACAAGGCCGCCUUCGGCCCCGACGCAGUUUUCGGCAUCAACAUGUUCAGCGACCGCACCGAUGAGGAGUGGAGAACCCUGAGCCAGGGACAUGAGCCAUAUAUACCAAGAGAAGGACGUGAUCCACAUAUGCUUCCAAUCUAUAUCUGUGAUGAUGGCCUCCGCGCCUCCCAAGCUGUCCCACUGACACACACUUUGUCUACUGAGCCAGUCGACUUUCGUCGUGGCACUCUACUUCCUAUGUAA